ACAAGGGGAGGAGGAGUAUAAAAUGCAUAGCUAGGUCCUUCCUGAAUACUGUGGCUGCUUGACCCAGCUACCUUUAACAGACCGAAGAAAAAAACAGCUCUCUCAUACCGGUUCUCCAUCUUCUGGGACUGCCAUCCAGACAUUAAUGGCCCGUUUAAGCAGUUGCACAAUCCACGUGUCUCUUUGCACUCCUCUCUUUGCAAGUUUUAUCACAUCUCCAGCACAGGGAUACUGGAUUGACUGGAGAGAUCAGGCAGAGAUCAGGCAACCUCUG